GUUGAUCCUGCGGGAGAUUGCUGCUAUUAGAGUUCGACUAAGCCAUGCAUGUCAAGGGAGUCUUCGGACGAACCGGCAAAAUGCUCAGUAACACGUCGAUAAUUUGCCCUUAGGUCAGGGAUAGUCUUGGGAAACUGAGUUUAAACCCUGAUAAAAGAUAUAUUCUGGAAUGAUUUAUCUUCUAAAAGUAAUGCCUUUGGAUAAGUCGGCGGCGGAUUAGGUUGUUGGUGGUGUAAUGGACCACCAAGCCCGAGAUCCGUAGGGGCCUUGAGAGAGGUAGCCCCGAGAAGGACACUGAGAUACUGGUCCUAGCCCUACGGGGUGCAGCAGGCGCGAAACCUUUACAAUGCACGAAAGUGUGAUAAGGGAACUCUAAGUGCUCAUGUUCUACAUGGGCUUUUGCCAAGAGUAAAAAUCUUGGCGAAUAAGUGGUGGGCAAGACUGGUGCCAGCAGCCGCGGUAACACCAGCGCCACGAGUGGGAAUCGUUUUUAUUGGGCCUAAAGCGUCCGUAGCUGGCUAUGUAAAUCUUUUGUGAAAUCGUUGGGCUUAACUCAACGGCAUGCAGAAGACACUGCAUAGCUUGGAACCAGGAGGAGUUAGCAGUAUGUUUGGGGGAGCGGUAAAAUGCUAUAAUCCCAGAUAGACUACCUGUGGCGAAGGCGGCUAACUAGAAUGGAUUCGACAGUGAGGGACGAAGGCCAGGGGAGCGAACCGGAUUAGAUACCCGAGUAGUCCUGGCAGUAAACGCUGUGAGUUAGGUGUUGCAUAUUCUACGAGAAUAUGCAGUAUCGGAGCGAAGGCGUUAAACUCACCGCCUGGGAAGUACGGUCGCAAGACUGAAACUUAAAGGAAUUGGCGGGGGAGCACUACAAGGGGUGCGGCGUGCGGUUUAAUUUAACUCCACCCAGAGAAUCUCACCAGCAGCGACGGCAGAAUGAAAGUCAGAUUAAAGGUUUUACUUGACGAGCUGAGAGGUGCUGCAUGGCCGCCGUCAGCUCGUGCUGUAAGGUGUCCGGUUAAGUCCGGUAACGAGCGAGACCUGCGUCCACAAUUGCUAACGGGUCCUUCAGGAUGGCUGAGCACAUUGUGGAGACUGCCUUGGAAACAAGGAGGAAGGUACAGGCUACGGUAGGUCUGUAUGGCCCGAAUCUGCUGGGCUACACGCGCGCAACAAUGGUAGGGACAAUGGGAUGCAACUCCGAAAGGAGAAGCUAAUCCUCUAAACCCUAUCUAAGUCCAGAUUGAGGAUUGUAACUCAUCCUCAUGACGUUGGAAUCCCUAGUAAUUGGAUGUUAUCAGCGUCCAGUGAAUAUGUCCCUGCUCCUUGUACACACCGCCCGUCAAACCACUCGAGCAGGGUUUAGGUGAGCUUUGGUCUUCAUUGAUUAGAUCGAACCUAAGCUCAGUGAGAUGGGUUAAGUCGUCACAAGGUA
rnacentral:rRNA from 1 species